GAUGUCCUGUAUCAUGGAAGCUUCACCCAUAAGCUGACACUGCUUUUCAAACUGCACAUUCCUCCAGCUUUUACCGAAGUGGAAUCUCUCAUGCCUUUGAAAGGGGCCCAACUCUCUAAAGAAGAAUUGAUCCAUUUCAGUCAACUAAGCGUCUCUUCUCCUGAAGA